rnacentral:lncRNA from 1 species
GGAUCGGACUCCGUCAGGGCGAAGCGCACGGUGAGAGGUCCGGACGAGCGAGGCCGUCGGCGGGAGCGGCGGGCGGCGGCGAGAGGGAGGAGGCGGUUGGGGCUCCGGCGAGGGAGGGAGCGAGGGGAGGAGGAGGAGGAGGAGAGGUCGAGGGGCUGAGGAAGGAGGAGGGUCGCCAUUGCUGAGCUGAAAGCCAGUCGCUCGGUUUGGCAGUUUUUGGACGUUAAUCUCUCUCUCCUUGAAAAAUAAAAUAUCUGAAACAAAAAAGAAAAUAAAAUAUCUGGAAUUUUAUCCGUUUUGGAUUUUCAUCAGUGAUUGCUUUUUCCGCAAAUUUAAUUAGAUAAACAGAUAAAUUCAAGCAACGAGGGAGAAAAUAGGGGAAUUGCUCGAUUGGUGGAAAUUUUUCAAAAAUGAUCACUUUAUUUCAAAAAUUGAUUUGGGAAAAUCGAUCACUAUAAUUAGAACUAGUGAUUUCCAAAUCAAAUUGAACAAUAUCAUUCUUAAUUCUCUCAAUUUUUUUGAUGGUUAAUAACAUAGAUAGUUCCUAUGUGAAAUUUACCUACUACAUGGAUGUCGAAAUUAUACAAAGUAUGUCGAAAUUUCUUAGAUUUAUGUGAAAUUCCGUUAUUGUUUAAUUACUAAGUAGUUAAAUGCCACUACCUUGAGAAAUUCCAAUUUAUUAUAUUAUUAAAUAUACUUUAUUAUACGAAAAUUCAUCAUCAAUAUACCAUAAGGCUACGUUUGGUCGUCCGGAUUUCUAAUCGGGAUAGGAUUGGAUAGGAUAGGAUAUGAAAUCCUGGGAUUUUUUUAUAUCCCAUAUAGUGUUUGGUGAAUCGCAGUAUUAAAGUCAGAUAUGUUCACAUCAUGUACUUUUUUUUUUAAUAUAAACGACAUAUUAUUAUAAAUGAACCUAAAUGUUCAUAAAUAAAGACGGUGAAAAUAUCUCGUAACAUUAUUUCUUAAUUUAUUUAUUAUUUAUUAUUUAUUUUAUUUUUUCUCUUUUUUUUUUAAUAUUAUUUUCAUUAUUAUUUCUUUUUCCCCUUUCAUCAUUCUUUAAUAAAAAUUUAUCAAAUAGUAAACUGUACUAACAUACCUAAAAUACAAAAAUACCUAAAAUAUAUAAUAAAUAUAAAUAUUUAAUUUAUAGGUUGAAUGUUUAUUAUAAAAUAUAAUUAAAAUUGAAUAUAGAAAUUAAAAUAAGAUUAAUUAAAAAUAAAUUUUUAUUUUCUUAAAUUAGAAUUCAAAUAUUAUUUAUAUUGAAAUAUAAUUUCAAUUUUUUUAAUUUAAUAAGUUUGUUAUUCAAGAAAAAUAACUUUCCUUUUAUGGACAUUAGAAAUCCUAUCCACCUUUAUCCCACCUCCCCCAUGGGAUAAUUUUAUCCUGUCUAUAUCCCCCUUAUAUCCGACUUUAUCCUAUCCCGAGUGAGCACCAAACGUAGGAUAGGAUAAAUUAUAUCCUAUCCCGAAUUUUAUCCCGACUGCCAAACGCAGCCUAAGUGCUCCCAUGAUCCUUUGCGAGAGGAGAGGAGUUCGAAUCCCACUGGCCGCACGAAAUCUUCAGUGCGACGUCGGGGUUUACCCUCAUUACCCCGAGCCUAUCGGGUUGUUCGUGUUAGUACGGUGCACGAAUUCUCUAGGUAAUAAAAAAAAAAAAAUCAUCAUCAACAUUGGAAAUUUACCUACUACAUGGAUCGAGUGAAAAUUAGUAUUUCCAAUUAGAAGUUACUUAUGACAUAAAGCCAUCACAUUUUACUAAAAAUCUAUUUGUUUCAAAAAAAUGAAUGAUAUAAAAAUUAUUUAUUUGAAAAUGAUUGUAUGAUGAAUGACCAAAUAUUUUUAUUGACUUAUUAUUUCUCAUCUUUAUAGGAUUCUUGCAAAUAUUAUUGUUUUUCCAUGGCACCGUCCGUGUUAGUACGGUGCGAGGGUUCCCUGAAUAAAAAAAAAAAAAAAAAAAUUCAUCAUCAACAUUGGAAAUUUACUUACUACAUGGAUCGAGUGAAAAUUAGUAUUUCCAAUUAGAAGUUACUUAUGACAUAAAGCCAUCACAUUUUACUAAAAAUCUAUUUGUUUCAAAAAAAUGAAUGAUAUAAAAAUUAUUUAUUUGAAAAUGAUGAAUGACCAAAAUAUUUUUAUUGACUUAUUAUUUCUCAUCUUUAUAGGAUUCUUGCAAAUAUUACUGUUUUUCCAUGGCAUAUAAAAGUCUUGACCCUUCUUUUCUGCUGAUGAGAGUUGGAGUUAGAGAGUUAUGCGCCAAGCAUAUGAGAGCUCUCGUUCUGAUUUCUACACCAAGCACUAGAAUGCAAGCUUUCAAAAUGAUUGCAGGCUGCUCCACGACCUCACCCGCCAUUGAUAGAUCUGCUAUGAGGAAGACGAAAACUUGUUUGGAAUGAGGACCAAGCCGUGAGGAAUUCUCCUUCUCAAUGUUGACACCAUCCUUUUUUAAGGUUAAUAGACUCGGCUUUAAUAGACAAAGGUACCGCAAUAAUGACUUGCGGCAGAUUGUUUUCUUGGCAACUUACACCAUAUCAAGGCUAGGAAUCUGAAGGGACACGAAAAUAUCACACUUCAGUAAGCCCUUCAAGAGCAAAACAGUCCUGCCCACGAGCAAGGGUAAUGAAUGCAUCAGAGUCCUGCCUUAAGCAAGAUUUGGCCAAACCGACACCAUAAAUCUCAUUUCAAAUAAAAUAUGGGGAUCUUCUGUUCCUUACCAUAGUCAAAAAAAGCCUCAGUGCUACGCCAGACAUGGCAAAAGAAAGUGAAAUUUUUAUCCAGUAAUGCUCUUCACAUUGUAGGGUUCCUUCCAACGCUGAUAGUGAUAUCUAGACUCUCCUAAGUGAACAAAUCUUUCUCACAACAUAUUCACUUAAUUCAAAAUUUGGAUAAACUAGACUGCUCUACAGAGCUGCCAAUGCGAUCCAAAUUGUUCAGGUGAUGCCUCCCAAAUCAUCCAUCCAUAAAUCAUGAUUUUUUGCGAGUCGGAUAACAUGAUAGCGUGCAUUUUACAUGCUGUUCUCUCCACCCUAGACCAUCCGUUGCUGUUUGCAGAUGUAACAAGACUAUCAUAUCAUAUGCAACUGGUGCGUCUCUCCAAAUGUCAUUGGACCAUAGACGCAUAACCCUGCAUACACAAAAUUCUGACCAGGGUUGCUUAGACUUAAUAUUAAGUGUGUGAAUCUAUUUUACAAUUUUAGGAACAACCCUGAUGAUGGGCUAAAAUUGGUUGAUGAUGCUAUAAACGCUCACACACAUGAUCAACAACAAGAAUGGUCAAAAUAAAACUGCAAGCCUUAGACAUGGUUAAGGAAAACAAACCUCUUGCAAUCGCUGGAAUUUCCAACAAAAAGACUUCUGGAACGUUUCAACGGCAGACCGGACGAUACAAUAAUUGGGCCAAGGUCUUGAAUUCUCUUGCCAUUAGUGUCAAUAGUUGGUAGGUUUGGCGAUACGAUCUCAUCCGUUAGAUAAAAACUCGAUUAAUGGAUAUAAUCUAAGGGCCUCAAGUAUAAAAAGGAGUGCCCUCCCCUCAUUUGUAACCAUCCAACUAUUCAGCAAUCAUUUCUUUUCGGAGCUUCUCUCUCUAAAAACUCUCUCACCCGGAGCGAGUGAAGUGCCCGAGGUGGCUCCCUCCCCAGCCACUCUCUCGCUCACGGCUCCCUCUAUCUUCGAACUGAGCCCCCCUCCCCACUCGCCCUCUCUUCCUUUUAAGCUCGGCCAGCAAGCAUGCAUGACUCCUGCCACCGCCAGCUCCCUUGCUUGCCUGGACUCGACCCUAGGAGCAUGCUGCUCGAUCCUCUUCCCCGCCUACUCCUCUAGCUUGUACCUUGCGUUCCCGUCUUUCUGCGGAAAGCGUGAGAGAGAGGAAAAGAAGACCAAGCCAAAGGAAACGGACAAAGAGACAAGGAAAAGGCUGGGGCAACUUGGGCCCGGCUUGGUCUCGUUAUUUUUUUCUUUUUAAUAAUCUUUUCCUCUCUUUUUUUUUUCUUUUUAAAAGAAAAGAAAGAAAAUCGGUAGGUUUCGGGGCAACUAUAAACCCAGUAACUGCUAGCCUCUCAUUGUCGUCGCUCUUUCUCUCUCAGCUACCUCUGCAAACCCUAAAUGGUUGUUGAAGCUCUCCAGCCGGUGCAGGCGCAAUCGAUUGUGGCUACCACAUUUUUUGGUGGGCGGUUUUAUCAUACCCUUGGUUCAUUAGAGCAGGUAUGAGCAUCACCCAAAUUCUCCCUCAAUUUCGAUGGUACACAUGAAUGCAAUUUCAGCGAUGUUCAAUGGGUUGGGGCAUUCCCAUUUCAAUGUGAUGAAUGUGACCUCACUUGUUGAACUCGUGGUUACCACAUUGCUACAUUCUUGGAAGUUAUACACUGGCAGGCCAACAGAGAAUAUUCAAUCAGGUUUUUCUCCCUCUCUAUUUUAGAAUAAGCAACAAUCUAUAUCUUAGAUGAGACUGGCUCAAGUCGUUUUGUUGAAAUUACUUUAUAUGUUUAUUUUAGAGGAUACACAUCCGUCAUUCACAGUUCCGUACAAUUCUGGAUCCGCUCGUGCCACCGGCAGAGGCGGUCGUGCCACCGGCAAAUGCAAUCUUGGCAGUCGUGCCGCGAGUAGAUCCAGAAUUGUACGGAAUAGUGAAUGGAUGAUGUAUUUCCUCUAAAAUAAACAUCUAAGGUCAUUUCAACAAAACGACUUGAGCCAGUCUCAUCUAAGACAUAGAUUGUUGCUUAUUCUAAAAUAGAGAGGGAGAGAAACCUGGUUGAACAUUCUCUGUUGCCAAUGUAUAACUUCCAAGAAUGUAGCAUUGUGGUAACCCAUGGUGGAUUCAACAAGUGAGUUCACAUUCAUCACAUUGAAAAUGGGAAUAUGCCCUAACCCAUUGAACAUCACUAAAAUUGCAUUCUCUUCGCUAACAUGCGUACCAUCGAAAUUGAGGGAGGAUUUGGGUCCAUAGAAGAUGCUCAUACCCACUCUAUUGAACCUAAGGUAUGAUAAAAUUGCCCAGCAAAAAAUGUGCAGCCAUAAUCGAUUGCUCUUGCACCGGCUGGAGAGCUUCAGCAACUAUUUAGGAUUUGCAGAGGUGUGAGAGAGAAAGAGCGACAUGAGAGGCUAGCAGUUACUGGAUUUAUAUGUCCUUUUAAGUCAACUUGAAACCUACCAAUUUUUUUUCUUUUCUUUUAAAAAGAGAAAAAAGAGAGAAAAAAGAUUAUUUAAAAAAAAAAAUAACAAGUGAGACCAGGCUGGGGCCAAGUUGCCCCAGCCUUCUUUCCUUAUCUCUUUGUCCGUUUCCUUUGGCUUGGGUCUGACUUGACCUCCUUCACCAGGCCGGUUUUCCUUUUCUCUUCCUCCCUCUCAUGCUUGUCGCAACCUACCAUCGGGGGAAGGGAACAGAUUUAGAGGUAUUGCCUAAAGAAUGGAUUUAUGACCCUUGAUUAGGCACGGGCUCUCCUAAGCUGAUAUUGGGAUAUUGUUUUGGAAUUUUGCACAAAAAAGAGUCGUCACUAGCUUAUUGGGGUCGGCUAAAAACAAGUGAGGUAUGUGAGUGUACUUCACUUUCUAAGCAAUCAGAGAAUUUAGAGUCGAGGAUUUGAUUAUACUAAUUAACUAAUUAGUGCCAUUUCGGUAUCUAAUCUUUGUUCAUUUAAGAAGAAAAUAUUUUUGUUAGGUAAUUUGGAUUGAUUUUACACACAUCCACUAACAAGCGAAGUGAUCAUGAGGAUAUACAAUCAUCAACCUAACAAUUAACAACCGAGGAAAGCAUUUAAUAAAUUGCAUGGGAGAGCAAAGAUUUUACAUCAAAGAAAGGACAAAUACUAAUCCUAACUAGACUAAAGGGAAGCCAAAAUUAAUAUACCAAAAUUGUGCAAUAAUAGGUAUUCAUCUUUAAGGACAACUAAAACCCCUAUGAUAAAGCCCUAAAGGCUUAAUCAGAUUUAAGCAUAAUUCUAAAUUGGAAUACUUCCAUUUUUUAGGAGAAAAUAACCUAAGGGAUUGAUUUUAACCUUUUUGAAGAUUUUUUAAUUUUUUUAGAAUUUUUUCGGAUUUUUCGGAUUUUAAUAUUAAAAAAAAAAGAAUUUUCAAAUUUCCCCAAAAAACCAGAUUUUACAAUUUUUUGAAUUUUUUUUAAAUCGAAUUUUUUUAUGUUUUCUGAAUAUUUGAAUUUUCAAAGGAUUAUUGAAUUUUUAUUAUUUUUUGAUUUUUUAAUUAGUUUUUUUAAUUUGAAAUUUUUAACUUUUUUUUGAAUUUUUUAAUAUUAUAAUAUUCGAGGGAGCGGGUUCGGACCGGAUGAACCCGAUCCGACCCGCUGACCCGGCCUAAACCCGGAUCCGAUCCAGUCGGACAAAAAGCUAUUUUUUCGAAUUUUUUUUUAGAUUUUUUUAAUCUUUUAAAUUUAAUAUUUUUAAUAAUUUUUUUAUUACACCAUGUGUCUUCUUCCCUGUUGUCUUCUUCUACUGCACUUUCUUUUCUGCCACUCCUCCUUCCCGAAGCAACUUUUGUUUGUUUUUUUUUUUUUUUACUUUUGGCCGCACUUUUACUCUUGCUUUUUUUUUUGUUUUUUUAUUUUAUUUGCCUCUUCCCCUUUGGUCUCCUUCCCCUUCAACGACUCCAACGUCUUUUCCUCCGUUUUUUUUUUUUUUUUAAUUCUUUUCAAUUUUCUUUUCUUUUCCUUUUAUUUUGUUCUCUCUCCUCCCUGCUCCCUCUUUCUCCUCCCGAAGCGUGUCUUCUCCUUCCUCGCGACACCCCCUUCCGAAACUGCUUCCUCACCGAAACUCAUCCGAACAACAACGGAACAACACCAGCGGAAGGACCCGACGUCCCCUCCAACGCUAAACCACCCCGACUGGCGCAGACCGCCGCCGGCCACCUAACUCCGGCGGCUGCUAAACCAUUUUCGGACGCAAACAUCCCCGGCCCAAACACACGUGAUUACUCCCGAAAAUUGCAUGGAAUCGCAAUAAAAACAUAAAAGGCGGACACGGUCCAACAUAUGUAUGAGCAGCAGGCGCGAAUCAGAUGAGGUGCAUCGGCUAGAGAGAGGACUUAGGCUCACUUGGCACAAAAAUUUGGGCAAACAUCAACACGAAGCAAUGCUCAAGAUCCACUCAUGGACAGGUUAAUCACAGUCGGAACAGAUAUGAACGAAGAACAAAGCAAUGCUCAAGAUCCACUCAUGGACAGGUUAAUCACAGUCGGAACAGAUAUGAGCGAAGAACAAGGGCUUCAACAAACUUGCAGGACUUAGAUAUCGUUUAGACAUUUCCACAAGCAUUGUGCUACUGACGCCGGAAAUUUUCCAGACGCGAGACGCCCCACGACGCAUACUAGAACAGCUCGUAGCUUUCAGGAGGACCGGCUCGGACUGAAGCUCGUGCGAACUAGUCGGCACGAGCUCCGGCCCGACGCCUCCCGAGAAACAAGGACACACGGUCGAAACAAAAGCCUACCUGGUUCGAGAGGAGGACUGCGGCGAAUGGCAGCUGACGAACGGACCUCCGGCGACGACCAAACACUCUCUCGAGCUUGCACUCUCUAUCUAGAUCGCUCUCCGGCGCUCUCUGUUCUUCGCUUCGUUUUUCCCUUGAACCCUCUGUCCUUCGCCCCCUCUCUCUCAAGCUCGCUCUCCGGUGCUCUCUGUUCUUCGCUUGAACCCAAGAACAGCCGAGAAGCUCCAGAACCAGUCGAGAACCCCUCACUUUUUUAAAGGUGAACAGCAGGCGCGCGUGGCGUGACCAGCAGGCGCGCCCGACACGCGAAUCACGCCGCCACCUGCCCCUCCUCAUCUCUAUCUCCUGCUCCUCUUGUGCAAAAAUGAAAGAAAAGUGGGCCGGCCCAGGCGAAGAGAAAGAAAAAGGGAAAGAGAGGGGUCGAGCUGACCUGCCCCCGGCCCGGUCUCAUUUUACAUUUUCCUUUCUUUUUCUUUUCUCCUUUUUUUGUAAUUAAUUUCCUUUGAUAAUUUUUAAUUUUUUUAAUGGCGAAUUUUGUUUGGAAAAAAUUAAGAAAAGAACAUUCAAUAUGCGGUGCAAUAAUGAAAACACAAUGCAUUUUAAUGAUUUUUUCUUACUUUUCUCUUUUUUUUAGUGAUUAAUUUCUAACUUUUAAUGCUAUUAAGUCUUAAAUAAAAUGGCGAAAUUUAGGUGUCAACAAUACUUUCCGCAGAAAGACAGGAAUGCAAGGUACAAGCUAGAGGAGUAGAUGGGGGCAAAGGAUCGAUAAGGUCGGGUCCAAGCAAGCAAGGCAACUAGUGGUGGCAGGAGUCAUGCAUGCUUGCUCGCCGAGCUUAAAAGGAAGAGAGGAAAGCCAGUGGGGAGGGGGCUCAGUUUGAAGAGAGGGAGCUACGAGCGAGAGAGUGGAGGGAGAGGGCGUCGUGAGAAAGAGUAGAGACACUAUGUCACUAAAUAGCAAUUAUAGUAUUUCUCCAAGCUCUGUCUAGGAAAUAAUUGAAAAAAGGGCUAUAGUUUUUCAAAAAAAAGACUCAAAAAGAUAAAAUGAUCACACACGGUUCUUCUAAAAAUUAACAUGUAUAUAUAAAACAGUUUUAAAAAAUAGGCAAUUUUUUUGUGAAAAAUUGUAAAAUGAACAAAUGUAUUAUUUCUAAAAUUGCCCAGAUAAAUAAAGGUGUUAAAUCGGAAGAAGUUGAAAAAAAAAUGAACAAAUAUUGUUUUGAAAAGACACAAACCUCAUCAACAACUAGCCCGUUUGAAAGGUCAAAAGCCGCAUCAUUCAGCUCCAACAUGUACCGGAAAAAAAAAAUCAUCAUGAAAAACUCAAACCGAUCAAGAUAUUAAAACAAGGGCAUAUAAUCCCCCGCAAUAAUGAUCAACAAGCAUGGGCAUCUCAUCUAGUUUUAUGAAAGGGCGUAAACUUUGGGGGUUGAAACGGUAUCGUUGCACAGCUUUGAUGAAGCUGGUUGUAACGUGCAUUUUCAACUAAGCCUACGGCCGCAGCGACACCCCCUCGUAACAGCAAUCCGCAUUCACGCACGCCCCCCACUCCAUAGUUCGAUGAGAAUGCCGCUCAUCGUGAAGAGUGACGACUCAUUACCCAUCGCCAGUACUUACAUCCAAGCGAAGGUCGCGCGGGAGCCGCGCGAAGUAAUCCGAAGGGAGGUCGAAGCUCUCCUGCAAUUCAAACGCCACCGGACACGAUUAAACGCCGACCGCACCGAAACGCGCGAGCGAACCAGAAACGCGUUCGGAAAAUCCCUUACGGCGAGUUCUCGGAGGAGGAGCGGGCCGGAGGAGUCGGAUCCGAGCAAUGGCGGGGGAUCGGACUUCGUCAGGGCAAAGCGCACGGUGAGAGGUCUGGACAAGCGGGGCCGGCGGCGGCGGCGAGAGGGAGGAGGCGGUAGGGGCUCCGGCGAGGGAGGGAGCGAGGGGAGGAGGAGGAGGAGGAGAGGUCGGGGAGGGGCUGAGGAAGGAGGAGGGUCGCCAUUGCUGCUGAGCUGAAAGCCAGUCGCUCGGUUUGGCAGUUUUUGGACGUUAAUC